rnacentral:lncRNA from 1 species
AAUUAGAGGAAUUAAUAGAAUUGAUAAUAAUAAUAAUAAUAAUAAUAAUAAUAAUAAUAACAAUAAUAAUAAUAAUAAUAAUAAUAAUAAUAAUUUGAAUUUCAAAUUUUGAAAAGUGAGAAUAAAGAUUAGUGAAAAAAUGAGAAUAUGGAGAAAAAAGCGAAUGUCAAAAAAAAAAUUGCUAAGGAGGAACUUGAGACAUGACAUGAUUUGGUUGAAAAAUAGUGAAUUAAUUU